ACUCAAAUGAAUAGACGGGGGCCCGCACAAGCGGAGGAGCAUGUGGUUUAAUUCGAUGAUACGCGAGGAACCUUACCUAGACUUGAACGUAUUUGGAAUAAUUUGGAAACAGAUUAGCCAGCAAUGGCCAAUUACGAGGUGCUGCAUGGUUGUCGUCAGCUCGUGCCGUGAGGUGUUAGGUUAAGUCCUGCAACGAGCGCAACCCUUACCGUUAGUUACCAGCAUUUAAAGAUGGGGACUCUAGCGGAACUGCCGGCGCAAGCCGUGAGGAAGGUGGGGAUGACGUCAAAUCAGCACGGCCCUUACGUCUAGGGCGACACACGUGCUACAAUGGAUGGUACAGAGGGCAGCUACACAGCGAUGUGAUGCUAAUCUCAAAAACCAUUCUCAGUUCGGAUCGGAGUCUGCAACCCGACUCCGUGAAGUUGGAUUCGCUAGUAAUCGCUCAUCAGCCAUGGAGCGGUGAAUACGUUCCCGGGCCUUGCACACACCGCCCGU
rnacentral:rRNA from 1 species